rnacentral:rRNA from 1 species
AAUCCAUAGGUUAAUGAGGCGAACCGGGGGAACUGAAACAUCUAAGUACCCCGAGGAAAAGAAAUCAACCGAGAUUCCCCCAGUAGCGGCGAGCGAACGGGGAGGAGCCCAGAGCCUGAAUCAGCAUGUGUGUUAGUGGAAGCGUCUGGAAAGGCGCGCGAUACAGGGUGACAGCCCCGUACACAAAAGCGCAUGUGCUGUGAGCUCGAUGAGUAGGGCGGGACACGUGGUAUCCUGUCUGAAUAUGGGGGGACCAUCCUCCAAGGCUAAAUACUCCUGACUGACCGAUAGUGAACCAGUACCGUGAGGGAAAGGCGAAAAGAACCCCGGCGAGGGGAGUGAAAAAGAACCUGAAACCGUGUACGUACAAGCAGUGGGAGCACCCUUUGGGUGUGACUGCGUACCUUUUGUAUAAUGGGUCAGCGACUUAUAUUCUGUAGCAAGGUUAACCGAAUAGGGGAGCCGGAGGGAAACCGAGUCUUAACCGGGCGUUAAGUUGCAGGGUAUAGACCCGAAACCCGGUGAUCUAGCCAUGGGCAGGUUGAAGGUUGGGUAACACUAACUGGAGGACCGAACCGACUAAUGUUGAAAAAUUAGCGGAUGACCUGUGGCUGGGGGUGAAAGGCCAAUCAAACCGGGAGAUAGCUGGUUCUCCCCGAAAGCUAUUUAGGUAGCGCCUCGUGAAUUCAUCUCCGGGGGUAGAGCACUGUUUCGGCUAGGGGGCCAUCCCGGCUUACCAACCCGAUGCAAACUGCGAAUACCGGAGAAUGUUAUCACGGGAGACACACGGCGGGUGCUAACGUCCGUCGUGAAGAGGGAAACAACCCAGACCGCCAGCUAAGGUCCCAAAGUCAUGGUUAAGUGGGAAACGAUGUGGGAAGGCCCAGACAGCCAGGAUGUUGGCUUAGAAGCAGCCAUCAUUUAAAGAAAGCGUAAUAGCUCACUGGUCGAGUCGGCCUGCGCGGAAGAUGUAACGGGGCUAAACCAUGCACCGAAGCUGCGGCAGCGACACUGUGUGUUGUUGGGUAGGGGAGCGUUCUGUAAGCCUGUGAAGGUGUGUCGUGAGGCAUGCUGGAGGUAUCAGAAGUGCGAAUGCUGACAUAAGUAACGAUAAAGCGGGUGAAAAGCCCGCUCGCCGGAAGACCAAGGGUUCCUGUCCAACGUUAAUCGGGGCAGGGUGAGUCGACCCCUAAGGCGAGGCCGAAAGGCGUAGUCGAUGGGAAACGGGUUAAUAUUCCCGUACUUGGUGUUACUGCGAAGGGGGGACGGAGAAGGCUAUGUUGGCCGGGCGACGGUUGUCCCGGUUUAAGCGUGUAGGUGUGUGUUCCAGGUAAAUCCGGUUCACUUUAACACUGAGGCGUGACGACGAGGCACUACGGUGCUGAAGCAACAAAUGCCCUGCUUCCAGGAAAAGCCUCUAAGCAUCAGGUAACAUCAAAUCGUACCCCAAACCGACACAGGUGGUCAGGUAGAGAAUACCAAGGCGCUUGAGAGAACUCGGGUGAAGGAACUAGGCAAAAUGGUGCCGUAACUUCGGGAGAAGGCACGCUGACACGUAGGUGAAGUGAUUUACUCAUGGAGCUGAAGUCAGUCGAAGAUACCAGCUGGCUGCAACUGUUUAUUAAAAACACAGCACUGUGCAAACACGAAAGUGGACGUAUACGGUGUGACGCCUGCCCGGUGCCGGAAGGUUAAUUGAUGGGGUCAGCGCAAGCGAAGCUCCUGAUCGAAGCCCCGGUAAACGGCGGCCGUAACUAUAACGGUCCUAAGGUAGCGAAAUUCCUUGUCGGGUAAGUUCCGACCUGCACGAAUGGCGUAAUGAUGGCCAGGCUGUCUCCACCCGAGACUCAGUGAAAUUGAACUCGCUGUGAAGAUGCAGUGUACCCGCGGCAAGACGGAAAGACCCCGUGAACCUUUACUAUAGCUUGACACUGAACAUUGAGCCUUGAUGUGUAGGAUAGGUGGGAGGCUUUGAAGUGUGGACGCCAGUCUGCAUGGAGCCGACCUUGAAAUACCACCCUUUAAUGUUUGAUGUUCUAACGUGGACCCGUUACCCGGGUUGCGGACAGUGUCUGGUGGGUAGUUUGACUGGGGCGGUCUCCUCCUAAAGAGUAACGGAGGAGCACGAAGGUUGGCUAAUCCUGGUCGGACAUCAGGAGGUUAGUGCAAUGGCAUAAGCCAGCUUGACUGCGAGCGUGACGGCGCGAGCAGGUGCGAAAGCAGGUCAUAGUGAUCCGGUGGUUCUGAAUGGAAGGGCCAUCGCUCAACGGAUAAAAGGUACUCCGGGGAUAACAGGCUGAUACCGCCCAAGAGUUCAUAUCGACGGCGGUGUUUGGCACCUCGAUGUCGGCUCAUCACAUCCUGGGGCUGAAGUAGGUCCCAAGGGUAUGGCUGUUCGCCAUUUAAAGUGGUACGCGAGCUGGGUUUAGAACGUCGUGAGACAGUUCGGUCCCUAUCUGCCGUGGGCGCUGGAGAACUGAGGGGGGCUGCUCCUAGUACGAGAGGACCGGAGUGGACGCAUCACUGGUGUUCGGGUUGUCAUGCCAAUGGCACUGCCCGGUAGCUAAAUGCGGAAGAGAUAAGUGCUGAAAGCAUCUAAGCACGAAACUUGCCCCGAGAUGAGUUCUCCCUGAGACUUUAGGUCUCCUGAAGGAACGUUGAAGACGACGACGUUGAUAGGCCGGGUGUGUAAGCGCAGCGAUGCGUUGAGCUAACCGGUACUAAUGAAC